rnacentral:rRNA from 1 species
UCUAAGUAUAACCUGCCAGACAGGGAAACUGCGUACGGCUCAUUACACCAGCCUUAAUUUACUUGACCUUGACAACCUACUUGGAUAACUGUGGUAAUUCUAGAGCUAACACAUGCACCAAAGCUCCGAUCCUCGCGGAGAGGAGCGCAUUUGUUCGCCACAAAACCAAGCCCCCAUCUGGGCGUCCAGUGCUGAACCAGAACAACUCAGCUGAUCGCACGGUCUUGUACCGGCGACGUGUCUUUCAAGUGUCUGCCUUAUCAACUUUCCAUGGUAGUGUACCUGACUACCAUGGUUGUGACGGGUAACGGAGGAUAAGGGUUCGACUCCGGAGAAGGGGCCUGAGAAAUGGCCACUACGUCUAAGGAUGGCAGCAGGCGCGCAAAUUACCCACUCUCAACGCGAGGAGGUACUGACGAGAAAUAACGAGACCGUUCUCAUACGAGGCCGGUUAUUGGAAUGGGUACAAUUUAAA